rnacentral:rRNA from 1 species
UACAGAGGUCUCAAGCGUUGUUCGGAUUCAUUGGGCGUAAAGGGUGCGUAGGCGGCGCGGUAAGUCGGGUGUGAAAUCUCGGAGCUUAACUCCGAAACUGCAUUCGAUACUGCGGUGCUUGAGGACUGGAGAGGAGACUGGAAUUCAUGGUGUAGCAGUGAAAUGCGUAGAGAUCAUGAGGAAGACCAGUGGCGAAGGCGGGUCUCUGGACAGUUCCUGACACUGAGACGCGAAAGCGUGGGGAGCAAACAGG